GAUGAACGCUGGCGGCGUGCCUAAUACAUGCAAGUCGAGCGAAUGGAUUAAGAGCUUGCUCUUAUGAAGUUAGCGGCGGACGGGUGAGUAACACGUGGGUAACCUGCCCAUAAGACUGGGAUAACUCCGGGAAACCGGGGCUAAUACAGGAUAACAUUUUGAACCGCAUGGUUCGAAAUUGAAAGGCGGCUUCGGCUGUCACUUAUGGAUGGACCCGCGUCGCGUUAGCUAGUUGGUGAGGUAACGGCUCUCCAAGGCAAUGAUGCGUAGCCGAACUGGGAGGGUGAUCGGCCACACGGGGACUGAGAGACGGCCCAGAGUCCUACGGGAGGCAGCAGUAGGGAAUCUUCCGCAAUGGACGAAAGUCUGACGGAGCAACGCCGCGUGAGUGAUGAAGGCUUUCGGGUCGUAAAACUCUGUUGUUAGGGAAGAACAAGUGCUAGUUGAAUAAGCUGACACCUUGACGGUACCUAACCAGAAAGCCACGGCUAACUACGUGCCAGCAGCCGCGGUAA
rnacentral:rRNA from 1 species